rnacentral:rRNA from 1 species
CCCAGACUCCUACGGGAGGCAGCAGUGGGGAAUGUUGGACAAUGGGGGGAACCCUGAUCCAGCGACGCCGCGUGAGUGAAGAAGUAUUUCGGUAUGUAAAGCUCUAUCAGCAGGGAAGAAAAUGACGGUACCUGACUAAGAAGCCCCGGCUAACUACGUGCCAGCAGCCGCGGUAAUACGUAGGGGGCAAGCGUUAUCCGGAUUUACUGGGUGUAAAGGGAGCGUAGACGGCUAAUCAAGUCAGAAGUGAAAACCCAGGGCUCAACCUUGGGAGUGCUUUUGAAACUGAGUAGCUAGAGUGCAGGAGAGGUAAGCGGAAUUCCUAGUGUAGCGGUGAAAUGCGUAGAUAUUAGGAGGAACACCAGUGGCGAAGGCGGCCUGCUGGACUGCAACUGACGUUGAGGCCCGAAAGCGUGGGGAGCAAACAGGAUUAGAUACCCCCGUACG